AUUGAACGCUGGCGGCAUGCCUUACACAUGCAAGUCGAACGCGAAAGGGGGGCAACCCCCGAGUAGAGUGGCGGACGGGUGAGUAAUACAUCGGAACGUACCCAGUAGUGGGGGACAACCUCGAGAAAUCGAGGCUAAUACCGCAUACGACCCGCGGGUGAAAGCGGGGGACCGCAAGGCCUCGCGCUAUUGGAGCGGCCGAUGUCCGAUUAGCUAGUUGGUGGGGUAAGAGCCCACCAAGGCGACGAUCGGUAGCUGGUCUGAGAGGACGACCAGCCACACUGGGACUGGGACACGGCCCAGACUCCUACGGGAGGCAGCAGUGGGGAAUUUUGGACAAUGGGGGCAACCCUGAUCCAGCCAUGCCGCGUGCGGGAAGAAGGCCUUCGGGUUGUAAACCGCUUUCGGCCGGAACGAAAUCGCCGGGGAGAACAUCCCCGGUGGAUGACGGUACCGGAAGAAGAAGCACCGGCUAACUACGUGCCAGCCGCCGCGGUAACAC
rnacentral:rRNA from 1 species